AAAAUAAUAAAACAAAGUACAAGGAAAAAUACAUUUCGAAGUGAUUUUAGAGAUGGGUAAAACACUUAUAGUAAAAUUGACUUAAAUUAAGUAAGUACUUAUAAUAAUAUAUAUAUCAUCUAGCAAAAACUAAGUUAAUUUUUAUUUGUUUUAUAACUUUUCUUCUAAAAAUCUUGUUGCAGUCAAAUAGUGUAUAAGAACUUUCUUGAAGUAUUUGAUUUAAUUGGUGCAUUAGAGAAGUAAUU